AAGCUCGUAGUUGAAUUUCGGGGUUAGUAGGUUGGUCAUGCCUCUGGUAUGUACUGGUCUCACUGAUUCCUCCUUCCUGAUGAACCGUAAUGCCAUUAAUUUGGUGUUGCGGGGAAUUUGGACUGUUACUUUGAAAAGAUUAGAGUGUUUAAAGCAAGCUAACGCUUGAAUACAUUAGCAUGGAAUAAUGAAAUAGGACGUUCGAUCUUAUUUUGUUGGUUUCUAGGAUUGACGUAAUGAUUAAUAGGGAUAGUUGGG
rnacentral:rRNA from 1 species